rnacentral:rRNA from 1 species
AGCUCCAAUAGCGUAUAUUUAAGUUGUUGCAGUUAAAAAGCUCGUAGUUGGAUUUCGGAUGGAGCCCGUCGGUCCACCUAUGGUGCGCACUGACGUGGAUCCAUCUCGCUGUCGGGGACGGGCUGCUGGGCUUAACUGUCCGGCACCCGGAGUCGACGACGUCACUUUGAGUAAAUUAGAGUGUUCAAAGCAGGCCUACGCUCUGAAUACGUUAGCAUGGAAUGACACGAUAGGACUCUGGCUUAUCCUGUUGGUCUGUGAGACCGGAGUAAUGAUUAACAGGGACAGUCGGGGGCAUUCGUAUUUCGUUGUCAGAGGUGAAAUUCUUGGAUUUACGAAAGACGAACUUCUGCGAAAGCAUUUGCCAAGGAUGUUUUCA